GGGGGCGAUCGGUUUCGACGGGUCGUCGAGGUCGGGCGCCGCGUGUCGAGGUCGUAGCCACCUCGUUAAACAGCUGCAGUCCUGGUAGCUCAUAACUGCCGAUGACAACUACGCUCUCGCUGCCUAACUAACCCUUAGGAACUAGCGACAUCCGUCCAUGACGUCUCCUAAUGGGGCACGGAUGUAAUGAGGAGACUGGCUCCCGAGCGCUGCUCGGCCGUAUCCGGGAGCGAGAUCACGUCGAGCUAGGGUGUGCUUGGGCCGUCUCUGCUCCUGGCCCACCCGAAAUCAAGCGGAGACUACACACGUAGACGCGUCCGAAGGACGCGAUUCGGACGCGGGUUCGAUUCCCGCCGCCUCCACCA
rnacentral:tmRNA from 1 species